GUAACAUUUGAGAGAAGCUCAAAUAAAUUAUCACGAGAAGAAACCCUCGCCUGGACGUUUCAAUUUGUAAAAAUAAAGCUCCUAUCCAUCAUAGCGGCAAUCUCCGAGAAGUGUGCUGGUUUUAUUUUUGAGUUUUUGUUCAUAAUUUUCUUGAGCAAAUACCAGUUUUAAUUAUUUUAAUUUAUUUAUUAAGGUGCAUUAUUAGGGUAGCUGGGCCAAAUACAUUUUAGAAGAAGGUCACUUCUAAGGACAAUACAAGUAAAGUUAACGACUCUAGUACAUAGAUAUCACGUUUUUCUCGACACGAGUUGCGAAUUUCCUACUUUUCGCCUUUUCGCACGUGUAUUGUACCUAUACAACGUUUUGCAGUACAUUUGGCCCUUUUAAAUUUUCGACAUACGCACGUAUAGUGCGAGUUACCUCACUAGUUCGGUAAAGUAGCACCAUAUGUCUGUACUGUAAUAGUACAUUACUAUACAAGUGCAAAGAACAGGAAAUUCCCAACGAGUGGCGAUAAAUUAAAACACAACCAAAGGGAGUGUUUUAAAUCAACACGAGUUGCGAAUUACCUUUUCGCACGUGUAUUGUUCAACUUUUUAUAGUAGGUACGUAUGGCCCCUCCUCCCUACGGUCGUGUUUUAAUUUAUCGCCACUCAUUUCGAAUUUCCUAUUUUUCUCACUUGUAUCUUAAUGUACUAUUAUAAUACGGUUAUCUCCGAACCAUAAUAUGUAUGAGUAUACUAUCAAGUACUACAUAGUUGCCUCAUUUUAUCUUAGCAAACCCAUUGUGACGUUUAAAUCAAACAGUAUCGUGCACAUGUUUAAAUUUAAUUAACUGAUAGGUAGGUACACCUACAUCAUGUAAAAUAAAUAAAGGCACACCUGCGCGUUAUUAAGUCAGUCAAACUAUGUGUUUUACGGCAGACGUAACAAGUAUUAAAUUCAGUGCUGUUUUUAGUAAUUUAUUAGUUAUUAAUAUAUUUCGUCAUAAAUGAUGUGGUACAACUUUAAUCUAAAGUAAAGAGAUAUUUGUAUAAAAUAAUGUUAAAUAAAGUGUAAUGAACGGAUCUAAAUAAAAUGACAGACGCGAAUGAAUCCAGUGAAACGAAUAAACAGGAUGAUAAAUUUAACCUGGAUAAAAUAUUGGUGGACGAAAUAGGAGAAGGGAAGUAUCAAGUUCAUGCCAUUGCUCUGUGCGGAUUGGUUGCCUUCUUUUUUGGAUUAACAGCGAAUGAUUUUAUUUUCUUUGCCGAAAGACUGAAAACUAGAUGUAAAAUCCAAGAAUGCGAAGAAAACGCCCUGUCCAGUUUUUCACAACCUUGGCUUGAAAAUGCAAUACCACCGUUUGGUGACGCAUUUGACAAUUGCCAUCGAUAUGCGUCUUCCGAUCAUUUGUGGAACGUGUCUGCCGAAUGUCCUUCAAACUUGUUUGACAGAAGUACCACAGUGAAAUGCAGCGACUACGUUUAUCAAUAUCAAAAUUCCGCAGUUUACGAAUUCAACCUGGCGUGCGAUGAAUGGCGUUGGUUUCUAUUCGGUUUCAUGCCGCUCCUCGGCAUGACUGUAUCUUUACCAGUAGCUGGCUUCGUGUCAGACCGAUGGGGACGUCGCUUCGCCCUUUCCAUCACAGCUUUCAACAUGGCUUGGAUCAACGCUGCUCGCUACUGGGCUAACUCUUAUACUGUCUUCAUUUUGAUUGGAUUUUUGGGGAGUGCUUUUGGAUCAGGUUGUCUAUCGUGCUGUCAUACAUUAGCGCUGGAACUGGUCAGCCCCACACGCCGCAUGGCUGCUGUGAGCAUACUCACCAGCUGUAACUGCCUAGGUGCAGUAGUAAAAGGACUGCUAGCGUGGACACAGCCUUACUGGCGAGACCUCAUUCUCAUGCUUUAUCUACCAAUGUCAGUCAGCAUUUUCUAUUUCUGGAUUGCGCCGGAAUCUGUACGGUGGUUGAUAAGCAAGAAACGCUAUGAAGAAGCUAAAACUAUCUUGCUAAAAGCAUCUAAAAUGAAUGGAAGAGUUUUAUCAGACAACACUUUAAAGAAAAUAACUGAAGGCGUGAACUCUGCAAAUUCAAAGGGAGACAAUGGAACCAAUCUAUUUUAUAUGAUGUGGAAACAUAAGACAAUACUUGUAAAUUGUAUAGCCAUGUCAGUUUGCUCUCUGUCAUCCGCAUUUAUGACGAAAGGCUUGGCUAUAUCUUCCGUGAGCAUUUCUGGAAACAAGUAUGUGAAUUUCUGCAUGGUAGCUGUUGUUGCGAUACCAGGAUUAUGGACUGCUACCUUUUUAAACGACAAAAUUGGCAGAAGAAGUUUCUUUUUUUGUUUAUUCUGGGUUCCCACGGGAUACAAUUGGCCUUAUACCUGCUCACAAAAUUCUGUGCGGCAGCCAUCUCAAGUACGAUAGUUGUGUACAAAGCCGAGUUGUUCCCUACAAGUUAUCGCAGUCGGCUGACGGGAUUUACUUCCAUAUUUGCCAGAUGUGGUGGCUUCACCGCGCUGCUGAUACCCGCUUUGACUGAUCGUGUAUGGAACUAUCUACCGAACGUACUCUUCAGCGUCCUGGCAUUCGUCUCCGGUGUACUCCUAUUAUUUACCCCCGAAACUCUCGGCGCAUCUCUGCCUGAGACCAUGGAAGACGCUACCCGACUAGGC